rnacentral:misc_RNA from 1 species
ACUACUUCUACUCCUAUUAGACGAUGAAGAACGCGAAGAAGAGCCCGAUGAAGACGAUGAAGAUGCGGCGGCGCCGGCGGCGCCUGAAGAAGUAGAUGAUGAUGACUGUGAUGCUGAAGAUGGUGAUGAUUGAUUACUAUCUUGCCGUUGCCUUUGUUCUUCUUCAUCUUGGUGGUUUGAAUAGUUUUCUUCUUCCUGUUGUUCGUCUUCAUCAUCUUCUUCUUCACCAAAUAAACGUUUCAAGCGAUUCGUCAUCUUCGCCUCCAUUGUAGAGGCGGUCGAUUGGUGGUAUAACGGCGGAGUUGGUG